UCUUCCUGUUACUAAAGGUUUAACUACAUAAAAAGCUUCUGUUAAAGAUAUAUUGCAAAUUAAAAACAACGCUAUCCAUCGAAGUAACGUACAUCGUUUCUAACGUCUUGCGCAUGAGUGAAACGGAAAAUCCAGAAACACUUGGGAAAGAAAAAGAACGCGAAUAUUUUGCGGUACUAGUGACGUUUAGAUCGUGAAAAUCCCCAAAAUAUGACAGUUGAUUUCGUAUUUUCAUCACAACAAACAAUCAUAAUCACAAUUUUUGGAUGAUAUAUUAGUUCUGUGAUAUUGAUUCACAUUAGGUUGUAUGUAUCUGUGGACUGGUUUUUUUGUAUUUGUUAUUAAUAAUGACAGAAAGACAUGUGUUAACAAUAGGGGCAAUUGCCAUUUUUUUUUGUUGGAGAAAAUUCUUUACAGUCAAAUAAUGUAGCGAAAGUCAAUUGGUAUACUGAAUCAAAUGUGCUUGAAGAGUUUAUUCGAGCUAGAAUGCGAGAAGAUUAUGAUAUUCCUUAAGAGAGGCAACAUGUGAAACCCCAAGAGGUGCAUUUGUAUAUCACCAUAUGGCUACACCUGCCCUACACGGACGUUAUAAUGUAUUGUGGACCAAUAAUAAUUUGCGUGCUUGAGAGGUACAUCUGAAGAAAAGUGAAUCAGCUGAGGUCCGAGCUGUUGUCUCUGAAAAUUCUUUUAAUCCCCAAGUCAGCCUAAAAACAGCUAAUGUUGAGGUACAACUUCAUGAAAGCUUAGGACAAACUGAUAGGAGCGAAGCACUGCUUUUGCUAUUGGGUCCUGAACUAGAAAGAUCUGAAGAAAAUCUACUUCACAGUGUCGAAGAACUAUUAGUGUCCGAGGACUAUUUUAUUGGCCCAUCAAGAAAACAGUUUGUGGGUCAGUUUUUCACCAAAAGUGAAUCAGAUUUUGCAUUAGGAAGUGCAAUUUUUUAUUGUAAAAUACUUUUUUGAUUUGAAAUAAACUGUUCUUUAAAUUGA